rnacentral:rRNA from 1 species
AGUGAACGCUGGCGGUAGGCCUAACACAUGCAAGUCGAACGGCAGCACAGGAGAGCUUGCUCUCUGGGUGGCAAGUGGCGGACGGGUGAGGAAUACAUCGGAAUCUACUCUGUCGUGGGGGAUAACGUAGGGAAACUUACGCUAAUACCGCAUACGACCUACGGGUGAAAGCAGGGGACCUUCGGGCCUUGCGCGAUUGAAUGAGCCGAUGUCGGAUUAGCUAGUUGGCGGGGUAAAGGCCCACCAAGGCGACGAUCCGUAGCUGGUCUGAGAAGAUGAUCAGCCACACUGGAACUGAGACACGGUCCAGACUCCUACGGGAGUCAGCAGUGGGGAAUAUUGGACAAUGGGCGCAAGCCUGAUUCAGCCAUACCGCGUGGGUGAAGAAGGCCUUCGGGUUGUAAAGCCCUUUUGUUGGGAAAGAAAUCCAGCUGGCUAAUACCCGGUUGGGAUGACGGUACCCAAAGAAUGAGCACCGGCUAACUUCGUGCCAGCCGCCGCAGUAA